rnacentral:lncRNA from 1 species
CCAGAGAGAGACCAGAACAACUACCCUCUAACCAGAGAGAGAGACCAGACACUACUCCUCAACCAGAGAGGCCCAGAACACUACUCUCAACCAGAGAGAGAGACCAAACACUACUCCUCUAACCAGAGAGAGAGACCAGAACACUACUCCUCUAACAGAGAGAGAGCCAGAACACUACUUCCUAACCAGAGAGAGAGACCGAAACACUACUCCUCUAACCAGAGAGAGAGACCAGAACACACUCCUCUAACCAGAGAGAGAAGGCGCAACACUACUUCUCUACCAGAAGAGAGACCAGAACACUACUCCUCUAACCAGAGAGAGAGACCAGAACACUACUCCUCUAACCAGAGUUUUACUGGGAAGAGAGACCAGAACACUACUCCUCUAACCAGAGAGAGAGACCAGAACACUACUCCUCUAACCAGAGAGAGGCCAGAACACUACUCUCUAACCAAGAGAGACAGAACACUACUCCCUACACAGAGAGAGAGACCAGAACACUACUCCGUAUAACCAGAGAGAGAGACCAGAACACUACUACUCUCUAACCAGAGAGAAGAGACCAGAACACUACUCCUCUAACCGGAGUACGAAGAGAGACCAGAACACUACUCCUCUAACCAGAGAGAGAGACCAGAACACUACUCCUCUAACCAGAGAGAGAGAGCCAGAACACUACUCCUUCUAACCAGAGAGAGAGACCAGAACACUACUACCUACUAACCAUACUCUCUAACCAGAGAGAGAGACCAGAACACUACUCUCUAACAGAGAGAGAGCCAGAAACACUACUAUCCUCUAACCAGAGAGGGAAGAGAGACCAGAACACUACUCCUCUACCAGAGAGAGAGACCAGAACACUACUCCUCUAACCAGAGAGAGAGCAAGAACACUACUCCUCUAACCAGAGAGAGAGGCCAGAACACUACUCCUCUAACCAGAGAAGAGAGACCAGAACACUACUCCUCAACCAGAGAGAGACCAGAACACUACUCCUCUAACCAGAGUUUUACGGGAAGAGAGAACAGAACACUACUCCUCUAACCAGAGAGAAGACCGAACAACUACUCUCAACCGAGAGGACGAACUACUCUCUAACCAGAGAGAGGGCCAGAACAACUACUCUCUAACCAGAGAGAGAGACCAGAACACUACUCCUCUAACCAGAGAGAGACCAGAACACUACUCCUCUAACCAGAGAGAGAGCCAGAACACUACUCUCUAACGCAGAGAGAGAGACCAGAACACUACUCCUCUAACCAGAGAGAGAGACCCAGAACACUACUCCUCUAACCAGAGAGAGAGCCAGAACACUACUUCUCUAACCAGAGGAGAGAGCAGAACUACUCCUAACAGAGAGAGAAACCAGAAACACUCCCUAACCGAGUUUACGGGAGAGAGACCAGAACACUACCCUCUAACCAGAGAGAGGACCAGAACACUACUGCCUCUAACCAGAGAGAGAGACCAGAACACUACUCCUCUAACCAGAGAGCGAGACCCAGAACACUACUACUCCUCUAACCAGAGCAGAGAGACCAGAACACUACUCCUCUAACCAGAGAGAGAGCCAGAACACACUUCCUAACCAGAGAGAGAGCAGAACACAUCUCUCUAACCAGUUUUACUGGGAGAGAGACCAGAAAACUACUCCUUAACCAGCGAGCGCCAGAACACUACUCCUCUAACCAGAGUUUACUGGGAAGAGAGACCAGAACACUACUC